rnacentral:rRNA from 1 species
UGUAAGCGUAUACCAAAGUUGUUGCAGUUCAAACGCUCGUAGUCGGAAUUUGGCAGUUCCGGAUGUGUGCACGUCGUGUGCGCACUUCGCGGGGAUUGCUUUUGUGGUCUUGCGUAGGAUGAGGCACUUUUAUUAGUGAACGUCCUCACGCAACCACUUUUUACUGUGAGAAAAUCAGAGUGCUCAAAGCAGGCAUUUGCCGUGAAUGUAUUAGCAUGGAAUAAUAGAAUAGGACUUGGUUCUAUUUUGUUGGUUUGUUGGGACUGAGUAAUGAUUAAGAGGGACAGUUGGGGGCAUUUGUAUUUCGGUGCUAGAGGUGAAAUUCUUAGAUUACCGAAAGACAAACUGCUGCGAAAGCGUCUGCCAAGGAUGUUUUCAUUGA